AAGUCGUAACAAGGUUUUCGUAGGUGAACCUGCGAAAGGAUCAUUACCGAUGAAAAGCACAAACUUUUGUGUAGGCAUAGCAAGUGCAAACUUGUAGCCACUGGUGGCGAGUGCUUCGCGGCGCAACCUGUCAGUGGCGGCAGUGGCCAGUCCUGUGUGGACGAACACUGUUUUCGAGCACGUAUGUUCCCUGUGUUUAGAAAGGAACAACCAAAGCAGAACAACUGCAAACGGUGGAUCACUCGGCUC
rnacentral:misc_RNA from 1 species